rnacentral:rRNA from 1 species
UACGGAGGGUGCAAGCGUUAUUCGGAUUUAUUGGGUUUAAAGGGUGCGCAGGCGGAAUAUUAAGUCAGUGGUGAAAUCCCUUCGCUUAACGAAGGAACUGCCAUUGAUACUGAUAUUCUUGAGUCUGGCUGAUGUGGGCAGAAUGUGCCAUGUAGCGGUGAAAUGCUUAGAUAUGGCUCAGAAUACCAAUUGCGAAGGCAGCUCACAGUACCAGUACUGUCGCUCAGGCGCGAAAGCGUGGGGAUCAAUCAGG